UGGGGAAUAUUGGACAAUGGGCGAAAGCCUGAUCCAGCCAUGCCGCGUGGAUGAAGAAGGCCCUAGGGUUGUAAAGUCCUUUCGAUGGUGAAGAUAAUGACGGUAACCAUAUAAGAAGCCCCGGCUAAUUUCGUGCCAGCAGCCGCGGUAAUACGAAAGGGGCUAGCGUUGUUCGGAAUUACUGGGCGUAAAGCGCACGUAGGCGGCCUUGUAAGUUGGGGGUGAAAUCCCGGAGCUCAACUCCGGAACUGCCUCCAAAACUACAAAGCUAGAGGAUGCGAGAGGAUAGUGGAAUUCCGAGUGUAGAGGUGAAAUUCGUAGAUAUUCGGAAGAACACCAGUGGCGAAGGCGGCGCGCUGGCUUGAUACUGACGCUGAGGUGCGAAAGUGUGGGGAGCAAACAGGAUUAGAUACCCCCGUAGUCC
rnacentral:rRNA from 1 species